rnacentral:rRNA from 1 species
UGGGGAAUAUUGCACAAUGGGCGCAAGCCUGAUGCAGCCAUGCCGCGUGUAUGAAGAAGGCCUUCGGGUUGUAAAGUACUUUCAGCGGGGAGGAAUGGAGUAAAGUUAAUACCUUUGCUCAUUGACGUUACCCGCAGAAGAAGCACCGGCUAACUCCGUGCCAGCAGCCGCGGUAAUACGGAGGGUGCAAGCGUUAAUCGGUAUUACUGGGCGUAAAGCGCACGCAGGCGGUUUGUUAAGUCAGAUGUGAAAUCCCCGGGCUCAACCUGGGAACGGCAUCUGAUACGGGCAAGCUUGAGUCUCGUAGAGGGGGGUAGAAUUCCAGGUGUAGCGGUGAAAUGCGUAGAGAUCUGGAGGAAUACCGGUGGCGAAGGCGGCCCCCGGGACGAAGACUGACGCUCAGGUGCGAAAGCGUGGGGAGCAAACAGG